rnacentral:lncRNA from 1 species
AGUCGACCAGCCAACCAUCGGAGUCGACUCGCAUUCCACAGGAGUCGACUCAAAUCUUAGGGUCGAAAAUCGCUCUCUGACUUUUGCCUUGUUUUCCUUAGGAAUUGACUUGCCAGCUAUUGGAGUCGACUCGAGUUCUUCAGGAGUCGACUCGUCUCUCAGGGUCCAAAAUAGCUUUUCUGUCUUCUGUCUGUUACUCCCUGGAGUCGACUCGUUCUAUUCUGGAGUUGACUCGACAAGCAUCGGAGUCGACUCGAAUUCUUCAGGAGUCGACUC